rnacentral:rRNA from 1 species
CAUUUGUUCUUUAAAUAAGGACUUGUAUGAAUGGCCACACGAGGGUUUUACUGUCUCUUACUUCCAAUCAGUGAAAUUGACCUUCCCGUGAAGAGGCGGGAAUAAACAAAUAAGACGAGAAGACCCUAUGGAGCUUCAACUAACUAGUCCAAAGAACAUAAACUUAACCAUUAAGGGAUAAUAACAUUCUCCAUGAACUAGCAGUUUCGGUUGGGGUGACCUCGGAGAACAAACAAUCCUCCGAGCGAUUUUAAAGACAAGACACACAAGUCAAAUCAUUCUAUCGCUUAUUGAUCCAAAAACUUGAUCAACGGAACAAGUUACCCUAGGGAUAACAGCGCA